ACGUAGGGGGCAAGCGUUAUCCGGAAUUAUUGGGCGUAAAGAGUGCGUAGGUGGUUUUUUAAGCGUGAGGUGAAAGGCAAUAGCUUAACUAUUGUAAGCCUUGCGAACUGGAAGACUUGAGUGCAGGAGAGGAAAGUGGAAUUCCUAGUGUAGCGGUUUCUUGCGUAGAUAUUAGGAGGAACACCAGUGGCGAAGGCGACUUUCUGGACUGUAACUGAUACUGAGGCACGAAAGCGUGUGGAGCAUACAU
rnacentral:rRNA from 1 species